GAGCGCUGCCACGGAGUGAAGGGCACAGCUGUCCUCGCUGGAUCAUACCCACAGGGAGGGCGGGCGGCAAUUAAUAACGCUCAUGAGCAAGGAACGAAGCAGGGGCUGGGGAAGGAAUCAAUUAAAGCCUCCUCGAAGGCCAGGAAGGACAAUAGGAAGGACAGGAGCUACCGGAGAGCUACGGAGAAAGGCAGGCGAGCACGCUGCCCCUCCUGUCCCCUUGUCACCACGGGUCACAGGGGUCUCCCUGCCUGGUCAUCGCCCCGGCUGGGGUCUGCUGGCACGUCCCUGCUCCUCUUGUCCCUCCAAGGCACGAGGUGUCAUGCUUGGAAACCUCAUCCUCAGCAAAAGCUGGGGGGCUGCAAGAAAUUUUGGGGUUCCUGAAGGGGUUGGGCUUGGGAGAGAGGCAUAACAUCGCCAAAAUUUGUGUGUGUGCGCCCUCACCUUGCCCUAGCCCUCUAUUUGCAGUGGUCUUGAGACUCCCCAAAAAGAGAGGAGCCCCCCUCCGAGGGACACGGGUUCCCCUUCUCAGGCAGGCUCCUGCCUGUGAGCCAAGUGCCUGGCACUUGUGGGGCUGCUGGCCGUGGAUGUGGGAGCCCAAACAGCUUCUGAAAACGGGGCUGAGCACUGCGUGGUGUCUGGGGCUGCAGUGGGGAGAGGAAUGGCACAGUACCCAAAUCCCCUGGAGCUCCGGCCAUCCCCAUCUGCCAAGGGUUUAAAUCUCUUCUGCCUGCCUUGAGGUGUUUAUUCUGACUCUGUGAGCAGGCUCCUGGAUGGCUUCAGCUGUACCCGAGCAUCCCGACGAGUGGCACGAGGCUUACAGCCCCGGGGCAGCUCCUCCUGCCUCCCAGCUGCAGCAUCACCUUGUGGGGCAGAGCCUUGUAGCUGGCGACAAUUCCCCUACAAAAAGCUCACGAUGCAUCCAGGGCAUGCUGAGAAAUGAGUGUUGAAAUGUCACUGAGCUUUGGCAGUGAGGACGCACAGCACAAGCCCAGCAUCAAGUGCUCCAGCUUGUGGGAUUGCCACAGCCCCAGGAACGUCUGAGGGGAUGUGGGAAGGGGCUGGGAAUGUCCUGGGGACCCCGCUACCUACCUGCCGGGGGAGCCGACGGGAGCUUCGGGAUGCUGAGACCUGCUGUAGGAGUGCUCCUGGCAGCUCCUUCCCCCAGCUUCGCAGCCCGGAGGAGACACCGGAGGCUUUGGCUUGAAGUGCUUGGAGAUGAAAGCCCGCCCGCAGGCCUUCAUCCCAGCGGGCAGCGGGCAGCGGGGUGGGCACACAAAGAGGCAGCAGGCGCAGUGACCUUUGCGUCCUGCGCCGAAGGAAGCGGGAGGCAAAAUGCCAGCCCCGCCAGGCUGCUCUGCCUCCAAACCCGCUGCCUGCCCCUGCUGCUGCGCCCCCUCGGAGGUGCCGAGAGCCUGCGCUGGCCUUGAUCUGCGCCCGCAGCUUGUUUCGGGUGCUUUAUUUUGGGGUUUGUGGGAAGGAAGAAAGCGAUAAAUAAAUAAAUAACCUCCUGCUCCCACCCCCAGGUCGCGGCAGGCUCCUUGCAGGCUCCCAGCUCUGCCAGGUGCAGGAGUUUUCCUGUGAAUCCCCCCCAUCAGAUCCACCUCCACCCAGAGUCCUGCCGUGCAGGCGGGCAGGACACGGGAUUUCUCAUCCCGUAUUUCUGGGAACGGGGCACAGACUGUCUGGGCGGAGGGGCUGCCGCCUUGGGAACACGCCUUGCUUCCUCCAUGGGUGUUAGAAACCUUCUCUCUUUAACCUGAAUCUCGCAGCCAUUGCCACCUGCCUGGGUUUUUUCAAGACCUAACAUCUUGCAGACUGCAGAUAAAAUAUAUAUAUAUAUCUAAAGUCCCUCUCUGCAUGCUGGCCUGUAGGAAAUAGAGGGCACAGCCCUGCCUCUGCAGCAGCUCCCAGGUAGCUCCUGCCUGCACUGCAGCUCCCGUCGCAUCGCUGUUGCAAGGUGUUGCUCAUGAGUUUUAGGAUUUCGCCAGUGUAAUAACUAACAAACGCUUCCAUGCCAGCAGCAAUUAGUGCUCGCCCUCGCUGGGGAGGAGGCAGGUCGGUCUGGGUACCUGCUGGAGCACCUCUGCUUCAUCCCAGCGGCCAGACAGCGCGUGGGGGAUGCAGCAAGGGACCUGAACUGCUGCCUGGGAUGAUGCUGUGAGCAGGAAGGACGGCGCUGUGCAGGAGGGGCGCAGGGUUCAUAAAUCAGGCACUGCGGAUGGCGCCGGUGGCGUUUACGGCUCCCCCAGCGCUGCCGGGGAGCGAUGCAGAGCCCCUGUCCAGCUCGGCUCCUGGAGCAUUUCGGCACCUCCUGUCCCUUCUCCGCUACCAAUUCCCACCCCAAGCCCUCCUUUCUGAGCUGCACAGAGCCACCUUGUCCUGCUGCCCUCGGCAGGGGCCGUGCUCAGCCCCCUGCACCUCUCCUGGUGGGGCUGAUGGAGACGGCUCCCACGGGUACCCGGUUAUCUCCUGUACCUGGUUAUCUCCCACAGAAGCAGAAGCAGCUCUUGGACUUUCAGCCCGCAAGCACUUCACAAAUCCCUAUCUCCCCACGAGGGGACUCGCCGCCCAGCAGAUAUUUUCUCAGAUUUAAUAACUUCAACGAACACCGGGUAACCCCACCUGCGGUGGCUGUAUCUUUCCCAGAGCUUUGACAGCGUUGGAGCCAUUGCAAGCCAAUAUUUCUCUAACGUGCUGUGAUAUCGCUUACAUCCUGCUAAAAUCAGGACUUUCUUCCGAGCACGCAGACAGAGCUGGGUGAGGGAAGGGGCCAGCUCCUCGGGGAAUAUCUGGCACCACGGUUUGCAGCAGCAUGCAGGAAGGAGGGCAGGGGAGGAGCGGGAGGGCUGCCUUCUCCAAUCCCAGCUUUCAACCGGGGCCCCUGAAAGCAAGCAGGUGAUUUUUUAUUUAUUUCAUUUUAUUGUUUCUAAUCUUCCACUCAGUUGGCUUGUUGGACGAUGUUACCAGGAGAAAAGUGCAUCAUCAUCAGUGUAUCAGCUCCUACCUCCUCCCUGUGCUGCGGCGCCGUGCCCUGCUCAGGCUCACGUUGGCCAGGAAAAAUCAAAAUAUGGUUAAAUGUGGGGAAAUGGGAGACUCCUUAGACUAAGCACAAGCAGAGAGAGAAGGUUUGAGCCGAUUAAGCAGAAAUCAGGGGUUGAUGUGGUCUGGGAAGAGUGAAGGAAGGAGGAACUUUUGUAUCCUCCCAUGCUUUUUGCGCAGCCCAAGCCAAGCAUUGUGUUGGGGUUACUGGAGUUCUGUGCUUCACAGGGGCCUUUAAAAUGGAAAAAAAGAGCAGAUGUCAUUUUAAAGGAAGAAAAUGUUGCCCUAAAGCCAGGAAAUCCUGAAGUAUCAUAAGAGAAGGUCAAAUGGGAACACUUAUAGAAAUGUCAACAGAUGUCCUGCCACUUUCAGAGAGGUUUCCCCUCGUGUUUCGGACUAGAGCUAUUUGUCAGAUUUGACCUCAGUUUGCAGUUACCAAGGCCUCUCUCCUCUCCUUUCCCUUUUGGACAAAAUUCCCUGCAGACAGAGGUGUCACACAGCUCUGAGGAGCAGCCAGCCCAGCUGCAUGCCCCAGCUCCCCGUCCUCGCUUCUGUGUCAUCUGCUGGAGCUCCCUCCACUGGCACUGCAGGGAUGCUGAUGUCCAGGGCAGCACAAUUAACGUGGGCUGUGUUUUGAUCUCUUUUACACCCAGGAAGCAAGGUGUGAUGACUUUCUGGUGCUCUGAGCACCACCUGCCUUCAAGGAGAGGUGCUACUUGCUGUCCAUGAGCACAUGCAACCAGGUGUUGGUCCCACCAAGACAGCUGGAGGGGAAGAACAUGGUCUCAUCUUCCCAAGGCACCUGGCACUUCACUCUCAACCACAAGUCUGGGAGUUGCCAGGAGGAGGAGAAACACCACAAGUCCCCAGAGAGGUGGCUCCCUGCAAUGGAACCACUCAAUCAAAACGAGCACUGCAAAAUCCACAUUUUGGGAGCAUUUAGUCCCUCGGCGCUCGGAGCAUGCCAGUGGCAGAGCUUACAUCUGCUUCUGAAAGCCAGGGAUUAGCCUAAUUUAGCACAAGCUUGGAUAUCACCAGCAAAAUCUGAUGGUGAGGAUGUGCCAGGCUCAUUGAUCCCUUCAAGUGGCACUGCAAAAAGUUUGGCCGACUGCAGCGUGAACACGAUUCCCCAGUUAGCUUGUAUCAACAGGAGCCCAGCGCUGUGCUGACAGCAGCGUGAGCUUUCUUUCCUACUAAAAAUACACUUUGUGUUUACUGGAAAUAAAAAAAGGCAAUUCCGGGAA